rnacentral:rRNA from 1 species
UACGAAGGGGACUAGCGUUGUUCGGAAUUACUGGGCGUAAAGCGCGCGUAGGCGGAUCGCUAAGUCAGGGGUGAAAAUCCCAGGGCUCAACCCCUGGAACUGCCUUUGAUACUGACGAUCUGGAGAUCGGGAGAGGUUGGUGGAAUUCCGAGUGUAGAGGUGAAAUUCGUAGAUAUUCGGAGGAACACCAGAAGCGAAGGCGGCCAACUGGCCCGAUACUGACGCUGAGGCGCGAAAGCGUGGGGAGCAAACAGG